rnacentral:rRNA from 1 species
UGGGGAAUAUUGCACAAUGGGCGCAAGCCUGAUGCAGCCAUGCCGCGUGUGUGAAGAUGGCCUUCGGGUUGUAAAGCACUUUCAGCGAGGAGGAAGGGUAGUGUGUUAAUAGCACAUUGCAUUGACGUUACUCGCAGAAGAAGCACCGGCUAACUCCGUGCCAGCAGCCGCGGUAAUACGGAGGGUGCAAGCGUUAAUCGGAAUUACUGGGCGUAAAGCGCACGCAGGCGGUUUGUUAAGUCAGAUGUGAAAUCCCCGCGCUUAACGUGGGAACUGCAUUUGAAACUGGCAAGCUAGAGUCUUGUAGAGGGGGGUAGAAUUCCAGGUGUAGCGGUGAAAUGCGUAGAGAUCUGGAGGAAUACCGGUGGCGAAGGCGGCCCCCUGGACAAAGACUGACGCUCAGGUGCGAAAGCGUGGGGAGCAAACA